GGGGUCGGUCCAGGAGGACUUCGCUGGCCACAUUCGCUUCAGGCCCUGGUUUGUGAGGUUUCUUCUCUCUCCCUGCCCAGGAGUGCUGGCCCUGCUGAGGGCAGGGGUCUCUCUGAUCACUGUAAAAGCCCAAGGCUGUCCGUGAACGCUGACGCUCCUACCCUAACCUCCCUGACUGCUGCAGUGGAGGGCACACAAGGCUGGUCCACAACCAGACAGCUGCUUCCAGAGGGCGGCGUUUAGCCCCCUCCAUAUCUGAGCCUGAGACAAAAAUAACAGCUAGGGUGCAGGCUCCUCAUGCCUUUCUCCUGCAAAGGGAGGCCAGCUCCUGGCUGGCCCCUCUCCUCUGAGCUCAGGGCUUUUCCGCAGGAAUUCUUGAUCUCUGUGGUAUGCCACAUGUUGCCACAAUAUGGCAUAGAUCUUUGGAUGCAGGUCUCCUUGGAGACAGGUACACAGUUACCAGUGGGACUGGAGAAUGGGCAACGAAUGCAGCUACUUUCAUCUUUUCCACAGAGACGUGGGGAAAAAUCAUCACAUGCCCCAGUAAGAGACACUGAGCUGGGCGGCCUCCUUCCAAUGUGGCAUCCCACCAGUCCCUUACAGCGCGGACCUCAGACCAGCACAGCCCCCACCAGCAGGGCUCAGGCCCACCUUCCUGCCAAAUCAGAACGUGCACUCGGCAAGAGGCCAAGAGACUUGUGUGCAGGCUCAAUGCCUUGAACUUACCAGAAACACUCCUAGCCAUGCCCAGAUGCCCACGGGUGUUCCUUCUGGAGGCCUGCAAGCUCCUGCUGCCCUGAGACUUCCCUGUAAACUUAGUGCCUCUGGGGGCGUCAGCAGCCAGCGCUUUUUAGAGCUCCCAGGUGGUUCUAACACGCAGCCUGGGCUGAUACCUGCUGCUCCAUCCCACUGCAGCCCAGAUCAGCACCGAACAUCAGCAUCUGCGUGACUCACACAGGUGUGGCAUUUGAGAGUUGGGACAUGGGGGUUUUGACAACUGGCCCUUGGGGACACCUCUCUAGCUUCCACCUGGCUUCCCCUCGGUUCCCCUUCCUUGCUGGCCACUCUGGUCUCUUCCCUGUCCACCCAGCGGGCAGAGCCUUCCCCAGGGCAGG
rnacentral:lncRNA from 1 species